AGAGUUUGAUCAUGGCUCAGGACGAACGCUGGCGGCGUGCCUAAUACAUGCAAGUCGAGCGAACAGAGAAGGAGCUUGCUCCUUCGACGUUAGCGGCGGACGGGUGAGUAACACGUGGGCAACCUACCCUAUAGUUUGGGAUAACUCCGGGAAACCGGGGCUAAUACCGAAUAAUCUAUUUCUCCUCAUGGUGAAAUACUGAAAGACGGCAUCUCGCUGUCGCUAUAGGAUGGGCCCGCGGCGCAUUAGCUAGUUGGUGAGGUAAUGGCUCACCAAGGCGACGAUGCGUAGCCGACCUGAGAGGGUGAUCGGCCACACUGGGACUGAGACACGGCCCAGACUCCUACGGGAGGCAGCAGUAGGGAAUCUUCCACAAUGGGCGAAAGCCUGAUGGAGCAACGCCGCGUGAGUGAAGAAGGUUUUCGGAUCGUAAAACUCUGUUGUAAGGGAAGAAUAAGUACAGUAGUAACUGGCUGUACCUUGACGGUACCUUAUUAGAAAGCCACGGCUAACUACGUGCCAGCAGCCGCGGUAAUACGUAGGUGGCAAGCGUUGUCCGGAAUUAUUGGGCGUAAAGCGCGCGCAGGCGGUUUCUUAAGUCUGAUGUGAAAGCCCACGGCUCAACCGUGGAGGGUCAUUGGAAACUGGGGAACUUGAGUGCAGAAGAGGAGAGUGGAAUUCCACGUGUAGCGGUGAAAUGCGUAGAGAUGUGGAGGAACACCAGUGGCGAAGGCGACUCUCUGGUCUGUAACUGACGCUGAGGCGCGAAAGCAUGGGGAGCGAACAGGAUUAGAUACCCUGGUAGU
rnacentral:rRNA from 1 species